CCCUUAGAUGUUCUGGGCCGCACGCGCGCUACACUGAUGAACGCAACGAGACCACCUGUACCGAAAGGCAUGGGUAAACUUGUGAAAGUUCAUCGUGAUGGGGAUAGAUUAUUGCAAUUAUUAAUCUUCGACGAGGAAUUCCUAGUAAGCGCGAGUCAUCAGCUCGCGUUGAUUACGUCCCUGCCCUUUGUACACACCGCCCGUCGCUCCUACCGAUUGAAUGGUCCGGUGAAAUCUUCGGAUUGCUGGAUAGGACUUCAUUGACCUAUCUGCGAGAAGUUGCUUGAACCUUAUCAUUUAGAGGAAGGAGAANUCGUANCA
rnacentral:rRNA from 1 species